rnacentral:rRNA from 1 species
UACGUAGGGUGCGAGCGUUGUCCGGAAUUAUUGGGCGUAAAGGGCUCGUAGGCGGUUUGUCGCGUCGGGAGUGAAAACACCGGGCUUAACUCGGUGCUGGCUUUCGAUACGGGCAGACUAGAGGUAUGCAGGGGAGAACGGAAUUCCUGGUGUAGCGGUGGAAUGCGCAGAUAUCAGGAGGAACACCGGUGGCGAAGGCGGUUCUCUGGGCAUGACCUGACGCUGAGGAGCGAAAGCAUGGGGAGCGAACAGG